CGGUGCGUCACUCUUUCUUCUUCGGUGCCUCACUCUUUCGUAAAUCUCAAAUUCUCAAUCCUCACUCUUUCUUCCUUAUGGAUAUCGAUAACCUUUUACUGCUCGCCAAUGUCGUACAGCAAGUGCAAAUGUAACAGGCUGCUGGCGUAGCUGCUGACGUAGCCGACCCCGGAGAAGUCAUCGAUCCUGCCGGUGACAAUGAGAACGCUGAAGCUGCCGCUGCCCAUGGUGCCGCUGUCGGCAUUCAAGCCAUUGGUGUCGUCCCCGCUUCCGACGCCGUUGCCGGCCCCGGCCCCGUCGUCCCCGCCCCCGCUGGGGCCGUCGACGAAGGUGGCGACGGAGAGGACGAAGUCGCCGACGAUAACGGGGAGGACGAAGGCGCCGACGGGGACGAUGAGGGCGGCGAAGACGGAGACGAUGAAGGAGACAUGGAUGACAAUGAUGGAGACGGCGACGGCGCAGGUGGAGGCGGCGCCGCAGGCGGAGGCGGUGCCCCGGGAGGUGGCGCCGGUGGUGAUGGGGGUGACCAGAGUGAAGUCAUUCAAGCAAGCUCGCCGUCUUCCUCCUCCUCCUCCGUUAAUCAACUUUUCGAUGGUCUGGCGAGGUUGGAUUCAUGUAUCUCAAGUGUUGGCCAGACAGCUGUGAUGACUAGGGAUCAUCUCCAGGAUUAGGCUGCAUGAGUUGGAAGUCCUGCCUGUAUUUUUUGCCAUCACUUGAAGCAGAACUGGACUAUUUCUUCUUUUUGAACUACGUUGUUCCCUUUUUUUUUUUCUGUUUGUUGCAGUAGUAUGUUCGGAAGAAUGGCCAAUGUCUUUCUUGUUGUUCAAGAGGCUUGCAAAUUUGUUUGAGGGUACACUUAGCAUUCGCAAAGGUGGAC